CCUACGGGUGGCAGCAGUGGGGAAUAUUGCACAAUGGGGGAAACCCUGAUGCAGCGACGCCGCGUGAGCGAUGAAGUAUUUCGGUAUGUAACGCUCUAUCAGCAGGGAAGAAGAUGACGGUACAUGACUAAGAAGCCCCGGCUAACUACGUGCCAGCAGCCGCGGGAAUACGUAGGGGGCAAGCGUUAUCCGGAUUUACUGGGUGUAAAGGGGGCGGAGACGGCGAUGCAAGCCAGAUGUGAAAGCCCGGGGCUAAACCCCGGGACUGCAUUUGGAACUGUGUGGCUGGAGUGUCGGAGAGGCAGGCGGAAUUCCUAGUGUAGCGGUGCAAUGCGUAGAUAUUAGGAGGAACACCAGUGGCGAAGGCGGCCUGCUGGACGAUGACUGACGUUGAGGCUCGAAAGCGUGGGGAGCAAACAGGAUUAGAUACCCCGGUAGUC
rnacentral:rRNA from 1 species